rnacentral:rRNA from 1 species
CAGCAUUCUGUAGCAAUACAGGGUGUGGGCGCGUGGCGAACGGGUGCGUAACACGUGGAUAACCUUCCUUCAGGUGGGGAAUAACCCAGUGAAAAUUGGGCUAAUACCGCAUAACAUGACGAUGCCACAUGGUGUUGUCUUCAAAGCCGCAAGGCGCCAGAAGAGGGAUCCGCGGCCGAUUAGCUUGUUGGCGAGGUAAUGGCUCACCAAGGCUUUGAUCGGUAGCCGGACUGAGAGGUUGGCCGGCCACACUGGAACUGAGACACGGUCCAGACUCCUACGGGAGGCAGCAGUGGGGAAUCUUGCACAAUGGACGAAAGUCUGAUGCAGCAACGCCGCGUGGGGGAUGAAGCUUUUCGGA